rnacentral:rRNA from 1 species
CUUGGUCAUUUAGAGGAAGUAAAAGUCGUAACAAGGUUUCCGUAGGUGAACCUGCGGAAGGAUCAUUAAUGUAACCGGAGCGGCCCGUCGCAGGUGAGAGCCUGUCGCGGGUCGUGAAGGGAAAUAUCAUACACCCUGUGUUUAUUUGACCUUUGUCGCUUUGGCGGGCCGUCCGUAAGGACGUCGGCUCCGGCUGACCGCGCCCGCCAGAGGACCCAAACUCUUUUAUCAGUGAUGUCUGAGUACUAUAUAAUAGUUAAAACUUUCAACAACGGAUCUCUUGGCUCUGGCAUCGAUGAAGAACGCAGCGAAAUGCGAUAAGUAAUGUGAAUUGCAGAAUUCAGUGAAUCAUCGAAUCUUUGAACGCACAUUGCGCCCGCUGGUAUUCCGGCGGGCAUGCCUGUUCGAGCGUCAUUAUGACCAAUCAAGCUCUGCUUGGCCUUGGGGCCCGCUGCACCCGGCGGCCCUUAAAACCAGUGGCGGUGCCGUCUGGCUCUAAGCGUAGUAAUACUCCUCGCUACAGGGUCCAGCCGUCCACCCGCCAGAACCCCCAACUUUCUCAAGGUUGACCUCGGAUCAGGUAGGGAUACCCGCUGAACUUAAGCAUAUCAAUAAGCGGAGGAAAAGAAACCAACAGGGGUUGCCUCAGUAACGGCGAGUGAAGCGGCAACAGCUCAAAUUUGAAAUCUGCCUCUAGGCCGAAUUGUAAUUUGUAGAAGAUGCUUCGGGUGUGGCUCCGGUCUAAGUUCCUUGGAACAGGACGUCAUAGAGGGUGAGAAUCCCGUACGUGACUGGUGGCCUCCGCCCGUGUGAAGCUCUUUCGACGAGUCGAGUUGUUUGGGAAUGCAGCUCAAAAUGGGUGGUAUAUUUCAUCUAAAGCUAAAUAUUGGCCAGAGACCGAUAGCGCACAAGUAGAGUGAUCGAAAGAUGAAAAGCACUUUGGAAAGAGAGUUAAACAGUACGUGAAAUUGUUGAAAGGGAAGCGCUUGCAACCAGACUUGCGCGCCGUCGAUCAUCCGAGGUUUUCCCCGGUGCACUCGGCGGUGCUCAGGCCAGCAUCGGUUUCGGUGGUUGGAUAAAGGCCUUGGGAAUGUGGCUCCUCCGGGAGUGUUAUAGCCCUCGGUGCAAUGCAGCCUACCGGGACCGAGGACCGCGCUUCGGCUAGGAUGCUGGCGUAAUGGUUGUAAGCGACCCGUCUUGAAACACGGACC